AUUACUAUUUUGAUGGCGCAAUCCCUGAUAACGUGGCACCAAUUUAAUGGUGGAUACGCGGCCCUUAUGGUCUUUUGUCUUUCGACCAUUGGAUCUUCAUCUUCUAAUCUUUGAAGAAGAUGCACCUAUAUAUACUAGAGUGAACCAUUUCUUUAACUUUUCCAUUUUCAUUUUACUUGGGCUUUCUAUUAUUGUCUGCAUUCUUGAAAUGUUCAUGUUCUUCGAUGUUGGCUUCUUCCCCUUUAAGGUGUUUAUGUUCUCCUCUUUCGACCUUCAUCAAGUUUUCUAUUGGUACUAUGAUGCAAGGCAUUAAAUAUCAUUCUUCUAAACUUAUAAUCAACAGGGAAGUAUGUCGCUUAUAUCCCUGGGUGGUUACUUGGGGACUCCUUCAAUAUAUUCUGAUUUAUUUGAAUCAGAAAAAUAUGACACAGUAAAAGAGAUUGGUGGUCCAUGUGGUGCCUAGAAGGUCGAGGUUCAAACCUUCUCCCACAGAAUUUGCCAAGACUUUCACCACCCGAGCUUCCCCUUGUUUGUCGUGGUAUUCCUGGAGAUGGGAAUCUUCUUUCCCUUCACUAUGUUCGAACAAAAAAAAUUCUGAUACCUAGUGGCGACACCUUCACAGUUACACCCCAAUUGUUGGGGCCUUAUUAGGGCUUUUGAUAGGACCUCUGCCCUCGUGUUUUACUCCCUUGGAACAUCAGCAGUCUCAUACGCCUUAAAUGAGCUCAAUUUGUCUUUGACCAUGACUAUAUACUUCUACAAUAGUGGAUCUUUGGCUUGUGCAUCCCCGUUGACCUAGGCGUGAUUAUUUUUGCCCGAUCUCCAACGCCAACAUGUAUCUAGUGAUGAAGGCUUCGUACUCGACUAGGUUGGUGGUGGUGGAGAAGUCAAAAGCGCAGGGAUACUUCUACUAUGAUCUCUUUGUCAAUCUCAAGAACGCAGUCGGCUCUACUUCCUCUACUAUUCAAUGACUCAUUUGUGAAGACGGUCCACUUUGUGCAUGGUUCAGAGGUGGUCGGUGUCAACUUAGCAAUAAAGUCUGCAAAGACUAGGGCUUUUAGGGUGUUUUUGGAGUUGAAACAGAUAUCAAACUCUGAAAUCUCUAUAGACUACUGACAUCCACCCUUCCAAAUUUGGUCUAAAAAUGACUUGUUUCAAAGGUUGACUAGUGUUAACCACCCGGGGUCACGCUUAUAUAGAGAAGACGUUCAAAACGGUGCCGAUUUGUCCUGCAUGGGGUGCAGGAGCUGUUGGAUAUGAUCAACAGUUGAGAUGAUAGAAGAGAUCGUGCUCCUAUGCAGUGUCCAGAAAUGAAGGUUCAUCUAUGCGUCAGUGAGUGGAGACACUUUGUUGGAUAUAUGAAUUGGGAUGGUCUUAAUAAGCCCGGAACAAGUUUUAACGAAAAAUGGAGACAUUUGCUAAAACCCACCCGCAUAAAAAAUUUAUUUCAAUAUAAUGUUGGAUAAUUAACAGUUUUUUUA